rnacentral:misc_RNA from 1 species
GUGUUGGCAAACCAAAUCAAAAUGACUUAGGCCAUUUUAAUGGGGAAAGCCUAAUUUAGCAUGAAGGCUUACCUGUUUAUUGAUCCACACUUUUGGGCCGGCGAUUUCAACACACAGUUUGUACCAUAGAGCACAAGAGAGUCCCUUGUUACUUAGUCAAAUACUAACUUAGCCAUCGGAGGAACUAUGCUAAAUACCCCUCCAGCGAUAACCCUUUGCUCAUCGUGCAAGAGUUCAAGCAUCCUUGGACCAUCGGAGGUCCCUUUGUUUUCGCCCAUCCACUAAGAUGGGCUACAUGCCACUCUAAAGGGAUCAGGCCCUUUUUUUCUAUCUUCCUCACAUUGUAUUUAUUUCUGAUUUUAUAUUAAGUCUUUGUUAUUUAUAUUUAGUUACUAACUUAAUCAUCGUAGAUCCCAUGAUAGGGAGGACCCUCCACUAUGUCUUUGGCCUUCCUUCUUGCCCGGAGCAUCACACAUGGCGAGAUCCUACUCGUGAAUUUUUGACUUGCAACAAGCAACAAUCAUUCCUAGGUUUCAACAAGAAUCAAAUACAUUAACCACCCCAUUGAGUUCCUUAAACUAGGCUAACAUUGACUUAGGAAACCUCCAUUACUGUACUCAUCAUUUGAUGCUGAUUGGAUACAAAGUUGGUUCAACUCAACCAUUCUCUCUACUACUUACACCAAGAGCAAUCCCAUAAAGCAAAACAAAACACAAUUUGGAUUGAUGUGAAUGUAUUCAUGAACAAACUAAUAUAAAUAGUUGUUGGAGCCUAGAAGGGUGCUAGGCUCAUGGCUCAAUAAGUGCUAGGUCUAGCACAUUAAUUAUAGUUAGGAUGCGAGAAUUAAGGCACGUGCCUUUCUCUCUCUUCAUUAUCCUCUAUUUUUUCAUAGUUUCCUUAAACCAAUUGCUCCCUCUCUCUCUCUCUCUCU